rnacentral:lncRNA from 1 species
CUGGCCGCUGCCUUCUCGGACCCAGGGUCUUCGGCCUGGGCUCCACACCUCAGGCCCCUCAAGUAAUUGGCCUCUUGGUGGCCGGGCACUGCCUUUCCGGCUGCUCUCUGCACCCGUCUGCCCCUCCGGCCUCCCCCUGGCGGCUACAGGCGUCCGGGGCCCUCGCUCCCCAGCUCCAGGCGUCCCGGGAGCCAGGCGCGCAGCGGGGCGAGUUCUUGUGUCCGUGUGAGCGCGGACGUGUGUAUGCGUGCGCGUGCACGAGCGUGAGUGUGCGUGAGCGUGAGUUUGAGUGUGCGUGAGGGUGUGAAUGUGUACAUGUACACGAAUGUGAGUGUGAGUGUGCAUGAGCGUGAGCGUGCGUGUGCGUGCGAGUGUGCACGAGCGUGACUGUGAGUGUGCGUGCGUGGAAGCGCGGCGGGGAGCCUGGCUGAAGGCCUGCUGCCUGCAUGGCUGUCAGAGAAAAACAGAAGUGGGAGCCUGCUGCGGGCUCCGAGAGGACUUGAUGGGAGCCCUGGCGCGCGCUGGGCACCGCGCGGUGGGCCCAGCCCAGUUAUGAACAUGUUGAGACCUAGGAGGCCAAGAGGACCCACCUAAAACCCUCCCCCGUUAAGGGCUGAUGUGGUACCCCUGCAAACCCACUCCCUCGGGGCAGGAGAUGCCUUCUCUGCAGAGUCCUGUUUCUGAAAUCUGUGCAGUGUGUCCAGCCCUAGCAGCACGAGAUCAAAUUUUCCUUAGAUAUCAACCAAAUGGCUUUCCUCGGAAGCUCAGGGGCGACCCACAGAGCGAGGGAGGGCCUUCUCCUGCCACCUCACCAGCGCAGUCAGAACUGAUAUUUCUAUCAGAUGCCAGGCGUUUUGCUGCUGUCUUUGGUGACAACGAUGGAAAUGCCAUUUUGCACAGACCGGGAGAACAAUAUUGCCAAGAAUAUCUGGAUGGAUGGAGGUGGCCGGCAAAUCAUCAGAAGCAACUCAGACAGUCCAGAGGAGGAUGGCGCAGAGCCAGAGGAGGCACAGGGAGGCGGCAGGCAGAUCUGAGAGGCAUCACCAAGGCAGCACUAAGGAAGGAGGGUAGGGACAGUGACUGCCUCGGGCUGCUGCAGCUCAGGAGGCCGAAUGAUGCCCUUCACCAAGCAACACACGAUUAUGCUUCGGGUAGCAGCCCAGCGCUCUUCACUGGACUGAAGGCACCUCUUCUCUUUAGAGAGAGAACAUUUUCAAAGGUUAAGCCUAAAAAUCAGGACAGAUUUUACUUUGUUAUUGUUGUUUCUUGAGGCUUAAUUUUUUAAAAGCCUGUGUGCUGGCUGCUGAUGGCCUUGAUGAGAAAGUGGCUGUCAAUUAAACAGACAAGGGGGAUCCGAGGAAUCCAGGUCAGCACGAUUUCCUGAUCUGUGGCAGUGACCGUGACCUGACUGGACUUGAGCUGGAACUUCAAAUAACACCGUUAGCUCCUAAUCAUAUCAGAGGUGAUCUAACAUGACUUCCCACACCAUCCCCUUUCAAAGAUGCAAGUCACAUGGGCACGUCUGUAAAAUGCUGAAGGCUGCACUGUGUGAGCUGCACAAAUUCAAAGUUUUCUGACUUUGCCAGCCCAGUAACACUGCCAGGUGCCAGCUUGUGGCAUUUCUGUCAGAAACCCAGCUGGCAUGAAAGUGGGUUUUUAAUCCAGCCUGGAGUAGCCCCUGCAUUCAGAAAUUCUUUGCCUGACUACAGAAGUCUAAAUCAGGACUCACUUUCCCCCGAGCUAGAGGAGGAGGAAUGUGAAGCCUUGGAAAGAGUCGGCACCAUUCUGGGAGUCAGAUUAGUACACCCCAAGAAAGGGAGAGUGGCUGGGCCAGCUGCGACACAGUCCCCAACUGCUACCCGUUCCUCCACCGCCCACCAAGCCCAGAGCAGCCUCCCUCAGCCAGAAGACAGCUCGGAGGAUGGAAGACUGUUCAACUUGUGGCUUAAGCACAUUAUUAAAACCAAAGAGGAAAAUUCUUUGAAGAGACGGGGUGGAGCUGAAUUUAAGAGAAAUAAUAAAAACCAUGACCAGGUUUUUCCGUGUCUGUUUUUUCUCCCUCAUUUCUCCAGCAGCCUGGGGAGCACCGAUAGAAUAAUUCCCCGGUCAUUUCAUCAUGGAACUUCCCUUUCAUCAACCUUCCACUGAUCUACGUUGCCUGUGGAAUAAAGUCCAAAUGCCUUUGCUUGAUUCUCCCUCUUCUUCCUCACCAAGCAAACGCCUUUUUAAACUAAUAAUGGUGGCCACCUGUGUAGAAAGCAGAAGGAAUGAGGCAGGUGUGGGACAGGAAACGAGGUUGCUAAGGUAUCAGUCAGCCACUGCUGUGACAAGGCUGCAUAACAAAUGGCCCCAACGUGGAAAUGGCUUCCUGCAGCAAACGUGUGUUUUUCUUGCUUUGGGGUCUC